rnacentral:tRNA from 1 species
GGUCCUGUAAUUCAGUGGCAGAAUGUUUGACUGCAAAUCAAAAUGUCGCUUGUUCGAUUCAAGCCGGGACCU